GACACAGCCAGACUCUAUACAAGGAGAGCUAAGUGAUAUUCAGAGAAGCAUCUACCUUCUCUGAACAUUGAGCUUCAUCUCACUGUGGGAAUUCGCCAACGUCUUUCCCACCCUCCUGGUGAGGAAAGGCUGAGCUACCAGACACAAUGUACUGCUCGGCCGUACUUAGGACAAGGAGCUGUCCUCAGUGAGCCUUUAAGUUCUCUGAUGGUUACAAGCUGUGAUUUUCUGUUUGCUGCUGCUCUGCACCAGCUUCUUUGCAUCCAUUAAAUUUGGGUUCUUAUGGAAGCUGACAAUGUAUCUUAUCUUGUAGCCUUUUGAGGCUUCUUCAGCCCACCCUGUCUGAAGUAAUUUCAUUUUACCUGCAGUACAGAAGCUGUUUAUCCCUUCGUCAUCCAUCUUCCACACACAGGCAGAGGUUCUACAUUGCAAGGGAUAAAAAAGUAACUCACUCCUUACAGAAAGGCUGUACUUGAGGAAUUCAUUUGUAAACCUUGUUGAGUGCUUACAAUCACUUAUGUGCUAUUCUAACAUCAUCCUUCUCACCAACAACCACAUUCUCC
rnacentral:lncRNA from 1 species